CUAUAAACAUUCACAGCUCGUCUAGAAUAUAAAAGUACACAUUGUUCAUGAAAUAUUCUGAAUAAGCGUGAAAGCGUAAAGACGGUACUUCGUGUUCGAAAAAAUCCUAUAGCCUGUCAGUCGCGCACAGAUUUGUGACGCUUCUUGAAGCAGUUAAGAUAUUGGCAAAUGAUAAUCUCGUUAGGAAAUUUAAAAAAUACGAUCGUUCGUGUCGAUAUAAUAUAUCGAUAGAUAUGUUCCAAGUAUCUUUAAAUUUUCUGUCAUAUCGACGAAAUAAAUAAAAAGCGAACCAGAGUUACGAAAAAUAGGUUACCUGGAGAAAGAAAGUAGAGAGAUCCAAAACGAGGGACACCCUGUAUAUGUUCACUUGUACGAUGGUGUACGACCUUCAACUACGUGACACGUAACAGGCUAGACGAAUUGUGUUAUGUCUCGUUGCGUUGCAUUUUUAUGCUUGUCAACUGAUUUAUGAAUGGCUGAGAAUGCUGAGAAGAUUUGUUUCAGAUGUAAUAUGAUGAUGCUAAUAUAAUGAUAAUGCCGAGUUUGAAGUAGUAACGAGACUUUGAUGGAAAGAAAAUUGGAGGUUAUGUAACGGGAGAAAGGAAAUUUGAUUUCUGCUUGUAACAAUAUAUCAUUAAAUUGGACGUAUGACCUUUCCCGUGAAAAUACGAUUAUUAUAUGAAUAGAUACAAUUAUUAAAAGGAGAUUAUCGUAUAAGUUCCAAUUACAUAUUUGCAGAAAAAAGAAAUAAUAAAAACGACGAAGACAUUCGUACAUGAAUGAUAAAGCUUUACAAUUUCAACAUCCAGCUGUUAGCGACAAUUUUAAUUAUCUGUAAAAAGCGAUGGUUACUGGAUAUUUACACCCAAUUAACGUGUACACACGAACGUUUCGGAUCUCAUUUAAAUUCUUAUGUAAUAUUACGCAAUAUCCAUAUAAUGCGUUUUCACUUUAAAAUUGUAUCACUUUCCUGAAAUAACGAGUCUCGAUUGUGUUCGCAUACAAGGCAACGAUCAUUUUGACUGACUUGGUCUUAAUGAUAACGUAACAGGUUAAGAACGCAUGAAAUGAAAGGUAAAUAAGGAGGUUCUAGAUCCGAGAAAGAAAGAAAGUGUUUUUUAUACGCAGGUGUGUAAUAUCUAUAGCAGACACCUGUAUCUUAAAAUGAGUACAAUUUAAGGCAUUGAUCGUACUUAAAGAAAUAAAUUAUUAUUCUCGACGAUAUUAUUGCAAUGAUGGUUGUUGAAAAAUAAAAUUAUGAAAUACUGGCAAAAAUCAAAAUGAUAAGACAACAAAGAAUGAGAUCGUAAAGUAUUGUGGAAACAGGUAUAUAAAACGAGAACAGAAAACGAAGAAUAAAAAUCAUAAAAUACGGUCCAAGGAUAAAAUUAUCCAAUAUUAAUAAACAAUGAAUUUAUAAAAAUGAGCCGAGGAUAAAAUCGUUCGAUGUUUACGAAGAAUAAAGUGAAAUAUAGGCGAAAGAUAAAGUCGUCCGAUAUUGAUGAAUAAAAUUCCGAUACAACGAAGGAUAAAACGAUGAAAAGUUAAUGGAAAACAACAGUUUAUGUAAAAUAUUACCAAAGAAUGGAAUGUGAUAAAAAUGAGAAAAUCACGAGGAUCAGGGAUAAUGAGAGCAGACAGCCCUUGGCUGAGUACAAUAGGGCUCAGGCAGUCUCGAUCGUGUCGAAUCGGUUACAUACCUGUUCGUACUGUCCAACUUUCACCGAAUAAGCCAGGGCUGCAGCCGCGGCCGUCAAAGUACCGCGCCCAAUGUCACGACGUGGUCCCUCGUAAUCGCGCCCCGUAUUACGUGUCUUGCUACACAAGAAACCGGUUCACUUUUGCCGGACCGGUUACAGAAAGAAUUCGACCAAAUGGACAAUGGAUCGCCCGCGGGCGAAACCCGAAUCCGUAUCCUUUUAUCGAUUUUUCAAUUAAACCGUGAAAUUACAUUAUUAAUAUUUCUUAUUUCAUAUUCAUUCAUAAUAUCGUAUUUGAAGAUUCUGCCUCGUAAUAUCCACAGUGGUCCGUGCGAGUAUUUGGACAUUUGUAGAAACUUUUCACGAAUGUAAUAUUGUACGAAACAUAUUGUAACAUUUUAAAAUUUCACCAACACUAGAAAUUAGAUUAUCAUGAUGACGUAUUGAUAUUGUUUCAAGCAAAUCGACCGAAGAGAACUUCUCACUGCAACCGGAGAUCCUCGAUGACUGAAUGAACGCGUAAUUCCGUUUGUGAGAAUCGUUUGAUGCUGCUGCGAGUUUCGCAAUGAAAGAUGUGGCCUGUCGUUUGAGCGAAAUUUAAACACUUAAUUUCUGAAAGUUCAAGGAUAACAUUAAGGUUCCGCAAGAGCGAUAUAUAAUAAGAUCACUGGUCCCUCGGUGGUUUUUAUUCCCGUGAAUGUUUGAUGAUCAAGGUUCAGUAAUGAAUAAUGGAGGACUAAAAAAGCUGACAGUUACGUUAUAAUCGUUUGAACGGAGAAGGAUAUUAUGAAGUUUAAACCGAGUUUUAUUAAUUAUCGCUAAGACAUUCCAAUCUAUUCUGAAUAUUAAUUUACUAUUUCUAAAACAGAAGCUAAAAAAUGCAACUAAAUGAAUUGCGACCGUGAGGAGGUACGGUCGAAAAUAUUUCUGAAAAUAUUUUUAAAUAAUCAUAAAUUACCAUUACGAUCAAAUUAACAUCGCAAUUAAGAUCGAAAUUCCCAAUGAAUUUUCACUGCAAAUAACAAAUCUCUACGAAUAAUUCUAUGUAUAUCUAUGCUUUCCUCGAAUCCGAAUUCUACCGAAUUCAGCGAUUGUUUCGGCGCAAUUCUUUCGAUAGAUUUAUUCGUAGAUAGAUUUGUUUUGUAAAACGAAUGUGAAAGCACGCGGUCCCGAUACCUCAUUGCGAGCAAUCAAUCGCCGAUUGAUAAUCGAGUCACGUAAACAGUAGAAGCAACUGCAGGUGCUAUCGUGACUGGGAUAUGCCUUUCUUCUAUGGAUUAAAAGGUUACAAGGCGUUUCUGCGGGCACGACAAUGAAAAAUGGAUGCGACUAUUACAAAAACCCGUGUCUCGUCGUUCUAAUGUAUUUUUCAUUAUUACGCAAUAAUUUAACCAUUAGAAGCAAUUAAACUACGUAAUCGGUAUCUCAUUUAGUCAGCCGUACGCAUAAAUCGUCAUAUAGAACUAUAAUCACGUAACUCAUUCAAUUGCGAAACGAUUUGUUACAGUCCAUACUAACAAGCAUAUUAAACAUUUGCUUUAUGAGUUAUCGCUAGCGUGACAAUAUUAUUUUUUCGUAGAACUUGUAGGGUUCCCCAGAACUCUAACGUAACGUUAUAACGAAGCAAAUUAAUGAAAAACAUUUUAUUAAUUAUCUCUUAAAUUAUUUCUCAAGUUAUUCAGAAAAACUUUGUUAAUUUUAAAUCUUUAUAGAACAGUUGUGCUUUUCUCUUUCUCCGUUCUCAAAUAAUUUUUCCCUUUUCUUUGUAUACUUAUAGCCAGCGUAGAAUGUUUUCGAAAGGUUCGAGAACUCAUUCGUCGCGCGUUCAUCGCCGAAAAACUUUAUCAUUCUGGUUCACUUUUUAUUACGCAAUCAUUCAAAUCGAGGCCGGGAAUUCAGACGCCUUUCUCCCUGGUAAUGGAUUCGCUUCGUGUGAUCCAGAUGAAUUUCAUAUAUGUACAUGAACUAUCGAUUUUUCGUUAUCGCGUAAUUCUUCCCAGAAAUAAUUUAAAAUUUACUUUUUCUUCCGAACUUCGCAAUUUCGCAUUAACAUUUCACGCUGUUGCCCAGAAAUUAAUGCAGCAGACUUUUAUAUUGCUUGAGAGAUUAAGAGAUCGAUGCUCUGCUCUGCUGCGGUGAAAGAUCAAGAAGGAGGAAGUAUGAAAGCAAUUGUCAAAAUAGAACACGUGUCGUGGCUUCAGCUAGUUUUCUCUAAACCAGUUUUCGCCACACCAGGAUGGGCGUGGAUCCCUCGCGAACGAGAUCUGCAGAACAAAAGUAGAUAGUACGUAGAAAUUUGACGGUAUUACGCGGUUUGUCUGACGUUCGCGAAACAGCACGAAAGUAGAGAAAGUGGGUCAGUCCUGGCGACCACCAGAAAUAGCUCGAUGAUCGAGCAACGCGAAAUUGAAACGCUACCCUGUACUCAAGGUUACGCGAUCGCGUUACUCUUCAUUCCAUGGAGCACGCGUCUACUACUCUUCCAUACAGAAUAAACAGGAUUCUACCGGAGGAUACUAAUCUAACUCUUUCUUGGUAUCCUCAUCGUUGCGUUACUCCAUGUCGAUGAUAGCGUAAUUAUUAAAAUAUAUACGUAUGGAUAUACAUACACAUACAUAAAUACGUGUGUUAAAUUAUUAAUUAUCAAAUUUCUAGUUGUUAAACGUCUAGUGAUUCGGAUUAGAGAAAUCAUAGGUAUCUUCAAUUAUACGAGCCAUUUGUCUUCCUACAGGUGGAAGUUCGAACAAACGGAAUGCUACUGUAACGCAAAGUAAGUUGAGUAAUAGGAUAUUCGACAAGACACAGCAGAGGACCAAAUGAAAGAAGAAGAUGAAAGAAUUAGAAAGUUCUAAAAUAUAACGAAUAACGCUACGAUAUUAGUCUACGUAACAAUGAACAACGUUAUAAUACUACCGUAUAUUAUACUAUACUAUACUACAUUAAUCAUAUACUGUAAUUUUGUCAAACUAAAGUAUACCGAAUAAUACACUUUAACCGAAAUAGUCAAGUAAUCGAUAAGUAAUACAGGAAGCAAGAAGAGAAUGUAAACUUAGAUAAAUAUAGCAAAGAAGGGAAGAGCGAAAAGAGGAAGGUGAGACAGAAAUGCAAAAGACCAGAAUACACUUGUAACGAGUUUAAUCGGUCACAAACAAGUCUGCUAAAAAAAUAAAUAAAAAAGGUUCAGCCUGA